CCGGCAUUUCUUUUAGUUUUUCUCUUCUGUUGAGUAAAUUGACAAACAAAAGAUGGCAUCUGAGCUUGUUAAUUCUGCAACGAGUGAGAAACUUUCUGAAGUGGAUUGGGCAAAAAAUAUUGAAAUUUGUGAAUUAGUUGCUUGUGACCACAGGCAAGCUAAAGAUGUGAUCAAAGCCAUCAAAAAACGCUUGGGGAGCAAAAACUCAAACACUCAAUUAUAUGCAGUUAUGGUGAGCUCUUGCUUUUUGUUUUGCUAUAUUCGUGGAG